GAGCGCGAAGCACUCAGAGCAUCGAGACCCUCCACCAGAGCAUCAUUUCCUUUGUAGUUUAGCCACCACCACUGCUAGUAGAAUAGCCAAGAAGGCGCUUUGAUCGCCAAGAGUUUGAAGAAUUCAAGGGGAUCUGGACUUGUGCCAUAUUCAUCAUCUAAAUUAGAUAUUUCUACAUUUUGUAAGGACUUUCUUUGUUUUCUCACUUCAGAUAUGUAUGGAACAUUAUCUUGAUAAGGGAUAAAUGUUACCCCUUCUUCAUGUAUGACUGUGGUACGUAAAGAUUGUUGUAAAAAUCUUAACCCUAUUAUCAUGUCAUUA